UACGGAGGGGGCCAGCGUUGUUCGGAAUCGUUGGGCGUAAAGGGCGCGUAGGCGGCUUGGUAAGUCCGUUGUGAAAUCCCUCGGCUCAACCGAGGAACUGCGACGGAUACUGCUUGGCUUGAGUCCCGGAGAGGGUAGCGGAAUUCCCAGUGUAGCGGUGAAAUGCGUAGAUAUCUGGAGGAACACCGGUGGCGAAGGCGGCAUCCUGGACCGGCAUUGACGCUGAGGCGCGAAAGCCAGGGGAGCAAACGGG
rnacentral:rRNA from 1 species